GCCAAGCUAUCAUCCGUAGGAUUAUGUCUGAACGCCUCUAAGACAGAAUCCAUGCUGGAAGCGACGAUACGCCCUCGACCGGUGUUGGAGUACGAAUAGCCUUCGGGUCAACACGAUAUUUCACCGCAAUUCAGAAUGUUGGUCGAGUUAAAUCCUCUGUAGACGACUUAACUAGAACGGGGUACUGUACGCAUGAGAGUAGUCUUUGUGCUACGAUCUG
rnacentral:rRNA from 11 species